GUGUAUGGCCAUACCACCCUGAAUGCGCCCGAUCUCCUCAGUUCUUAGAAGCAAAGCAGGGUCGGGCCUAGUUAGUACUUGGAUGGGAGACCACAUUGUAUUGAUUAUUGUAACUUUAUAUU
rnacentral:rRNA from 1 species